rnacentral:rRNA from 1 species
UAAUUUUUACUUAAUUUAUUUAUAUGUAUGAGAAUUUAAUAUAAUAAAAGUAAUUUUAUUAGGAGAUUUAGUAUUAUUAUUAGAAAUUUUUCUUUAAAAUUUAUAGAGAAACAGUACUGUGGGGGAAGGUUGAAAUAAGUUUAAAUAUAUUUAUUACUAAAGAAGUAGAUAUUAUAUAUUGUACCUUGUGUAUCAGGGUUUAUUAAUUUAAUUAUAUGGAUUUAUAAUUCCCGAAUUAAAAAGAGUUAAUUUAUUAUAUUAGUUGAUGUAAUAUAAUCAUUUUAAAUAAUAAAUUAGUGAUGAAAUGUCAUUCGAUUUUUAAGAUAUCUGGUUUUCUAAGAAAUGAAUUUAAUUCAUUUUAUUAUUUGUAAAUAGUUUAUUAUUAAAUUAUUUAUAAAAAUAAUUAAAAGGUCUGGGGGAUAAGCUUUAGAUUUAAUUAAUUAAAAAAUUUUUUUUUGUAUUAUAUAAUUGUAAGCUUUAUAUUAGCUAUCAAUAAUAAUUUUGUUAUAAAUUAUAUAAUAUAUAAGUAAUUUUAUAGGAAUUUUUAAUUUUAUUAUUAGAAUAAAUAAUGUAAUUAGUUUAUUAUAGUAAUAAUGAUAAAAUUAGUAUAUUUAUAUGUAAUAAGUAGUGAAAAUUUAAAUUUAUAUAAAGGAAUUAGGCAAACAUUAUACUCGCCUGUUUAACAAAAACAUGUCUUUUUGGGGUAAAAUUUAAAGUCGGGCCUGCCCACUGGUAUGUAUACACUAAAGGGCCGCGGUAUUCUGACCGUGCAAAGGUAGCAUAAUCAUUAGUCUUUUAAUUGAAGGCUAGAAUGAAUGGUUUGACGAAGUAUUAACUGUCUCUAUGUAAAGAAUAGAAUUUAACAUUUGAGUUAAAAGGCUUAAAUGUAAAUAUAGGACGAGAAGACCCUAUAGAGUUUUAUAUAAAUUUUAUAAAUAAAUUUAUUUAGUUGUUUUAAAUUUUAUUUAUUAUUUAUAUUAUGUUGGGGUGACAUAAAGAUAAAAAUAACUCUUUAUUUAUAUAUACAUUGAUGUAUGAAUAAAUGAUCCAUUUGUAGUGAUUGAAAGAUAAAAUUACCUUAGGGAUAACAGCGUAAUUUUUCUUACGAGUUCAUAUCGACAGAAAAGUUUGCGACCUCGAUGUUGGAUUAAGAAUAUGAUUUGGUGUAGCAGCUAAUUUAAUAAGUCUGUUCGACUUUUAAAUUCUUACAUGAUCUGAGUUCAGACCGGCGUAAGCCAGGUCGGUUUCUAUCCUUAUUUAGAUAAAAUAUUUUAGUACGAAAGGACCAAAUAUGAUAAAUAAUUUAUUUUAAGUGAAUAAUAGU